rnacentral:rRNA from 1 species
GACGAACGCUGGCGGCGUGCUUAACACAUGCAAGUCGAACGAAGUGGCGAACGGGUGAGUAACGCGUAAUAAACCUGCCCUUUAGAGGGGGACAACAGUUGGAAACGACUGCUAAUACCGCAUACUGAAGGUGGGGAUUGCGUCUGAUUAGCUAGCUGGAGGGGUAACGGCCCACCAAGGCGAUGAUCAGUAGCCCGGCUGAGAAGAAGAGCGGCCACGUUAGGACUGAGACGCGGCCCAGACUCCUACGGGAGGCAGCAGUGGGGAAUCUUCCGCAAUGGACGAAAGACUGACGGAGCGACGCCGCGUGAGUGAUGACGGCCUUCGGGUUGUAAAGCUCUGUUGAUCGGGACGCGGUACCGGAAGAGAAAGCCACGGCUAACUACGUGCCAGCCGCCGCGGUAAUUC